rnacentral:rRNA from 1 species
UACAGAGGGUGCAAGCGUUGUUCGGAAUUAUUGGGCGUAAAGAGCGUGUAGGCGGUCCGGUAAGUCAGCUGUGAAAGUCAAGGGCUCAACCCUUGAAUGCCGGUUGAUACUGUCGGGCUAGAGUCCGGAAGAGGCGAGUGGAAUUCCCGGUGUAGCGGUGAAGUGCGCAGAUAUCGGGAGGAACACCAAUGGCGAAGGCAGCUCGCUGGGACGGUACUGACGCUGAGACGCGAAAGCGUGGGGAGCAAACAGG